rnacentral:lncRNA from 1 species
AUUUUAAAAUCUCGCACAAAGCAUCCAAAAUCUCAGUGCCGGCUCUAUCCGAUACGAUGGCAAAAUAAUAUAUAACUAUCAUGUCCUUUGCUUUAACCGCAUGAGAAAUAUAUUCGCACUAACUCAGUACAGGGAAGUGUGUAAUCUUUUCAUAUUAACUUGUUACGAUAUCUUCUGCAUAUCUAAACAGGUCAAAGGAAUCCAAAAGCAUGAUCAAUUUUGCAAAAUAUGCCUUGUGUGCGUGAGGUCCAUGAGCGUGUACUCCAUGUUCCACUGUAUCAUGCAAGCACUGACCCGAAUGAAGCGGCUAGGGAACUUUCCUUGGACCAUGGCGUGUUACCGUGCCCGACUAUGAUUGACCCAUUAAUGGUUUUAUCAAUAAAAUAUUCAUGAGUUUGUGUAUCUAACCAACCACUCUGAAGAGUCAAGGUUUAUGCACCUUAGGUGCAUAAUGCGAGCUAAUAUACUUUAACAAAUGUAUAAGGAUUAGUUGGUGAACAAAACGUGAGCAGAUAACAGAAUGAGUUAAAAAUCAAUCAAUCACUAACUGCCACAUAUCACCAAUAACAAGACUCAUUUACCUCCAAGGCCUGAUUAGAAAUAUAUAAAUAGGCAUAUCGAGGAUGAAGAAAUGCAUGCAAGUUUGAAUAGCUUCCUCCAAAUAAUUAUCUCUCCUAAUGAUCUUUCUUGAGCAUCAGAUUAAUGAUUACCAUUUAGAUGUCAACAAAUGGCUUUGGUACGUGCCGCGAAAAUGGUCAAAUUUUACCUAGUUUGACGGCUUGUUUUUGUAAAAUAAAAAAAAAAAAAUAUUAGUUAGUUUAUGUUUAUUUGGAUCUUCUUUUUGUUCGAUCCAAUUCUUGGAUCAAAAUAGUUUGAUUUUUUUGCAAACUUUGGUUCUUAAUUUAUCCGUGGCAUUGAUAGCAUGAUUGUUGGACUAUGGCGUGUAACUGUG